rnacentral:rRNA from 1 species
AUGCAUAUCACGAAGAACGUGUGCGAGAGUCUGCUUGGUACCCUGCUCAACAUGCCAGAGAGGACCAAAGAUGGGCCGAAAGCAAGGGCAGACUUGAAAUCAAUGGGCAUCAGGGAGGAGCUUCACGCUAAUGAUGAUGAUGAUGAGGCGAAGCAGGACACGGAAAGUCGUCGCAAAGGCAAAAAGGCCAAGAAGACCGGAAAUGACUUCCCUCCCGCGUGCUUCACUCUAAGUCAGGAGGAGAUCGAUCAGUUUUUCACCUGCCUCGUAGGAGUAAAACUUCCUUACGGUUACGCGGGGAAGAUAAUCAGAUACCUAGACUCAGCGAAGCAAAAGUUCAGCGGGAUGAAGUCUCACGACUGUCACGUGCUGAUGACGCAGAUACUUCCAGUUGCAAUCCGUGGGAUCAUGGACGCGCACGUCCGUGAAACGCUAUUUGGCCUAUGCAACUUUUUCGACGUCAUCUCUCGAAAGUCGGUUGGCGUGAGGCAACUCAGAAGGCUACAGGAAGAGAUCGUGGUGAUACUAUGCGAGCUUGAGAUGUACUUCCCGCCCGCAUUCUUCGACGUUAUGGUGCAUCUGCUGGUCCAUAUCUUGGAGGAUAUCAUCCAACUUGGGCCGACGUUCCUGCACAGCAUUAUGCCAUUCGAAAGGAUGAAUGGUGUCAUCAAAGGAUAUGUUCGCAACAUGUCACGUCCAGAGGGAAGCAUAGCUCAUGUUUCACGCGUUGGUUCAAGCAGAAGCUUUGGUCGUACCCUUUACAUGUUUCACGCGUUGGUUCGGACGGAGAUAUAA